rnacentral:rRNA from 1 species
AUGGAGUCCUCCGGCAGGCCGACGCCUCUCCUCCUCGCCUCCCUCUGCCUCGUCGUCGUCCUCCUCCUCCUCGCCCUUCCCCUGCAGCCGGCGUCCGCCGUGCCCACGUCAAGGAGCAUGCGCCUGAGGAGCCAGCAGCGCCCGCCGUCUCUGAAGCUUUCUUCUCCGCAGGAGAUGACGACGGCGGCGGCGGCCGGGAAGCCGCAGGGCCGGGCGGCGGCGAGGAUGGACGUGGAGGUGAACGACUACCCCGGGUCCGGCCCCAACAACCGCCAUGACCCUCCGAAGGGCCCCGGAAGAGGGUGA